rnacentral:rRNA from 1 species
AUUGAACGCUGGCGGCAUGCUUUACACAUGCAAGUCGAACGAGACCUUCGGGUCUAGUGGCGCACGGGUGCGUAACGCGUGGGAAUCUGCCCUUAGGUACGGAAUAACUCAGGGAAACUUGUGCUAAUACCGUAUGAUGUCGAGAGACCAAAGAUUUAUCGCCUAGGGAUGAGCCCGCGUAGGAUUAGCUAGUUGGUAGGGUAAAGGCCUACCAAGCCGACGACGGGUAACCGGUCUGAGAGGAUGGCCGGUCACAAGGGCACUGAGAGACGGGCCCUACUCCUACGGGAGGCAGCAGUGGGGGAUUUUGGACAAUGGGCGAAAGCCUGAUCCAGCGACGCCGCGUGGAGGACGAAGCCCUUCGGGGUGUAAACUCCUUUUCUCAGGGAAAAGGAUGAUGGUACCUGAGGAAUAAGCCCCGGCUAACUACGUG